UGGGGAAUUUUGGACAAUGGGCGAAAGCCUGAUCCAGCAAUGCCGCGUGUGUGAAGAAGGCCUUCGGGUUGUAAAGCACUUUUGUCCGGAAAGAAAUCCUUGGCUCUAAUACAGUCGGGGGAUGACGGUACCGGAAGAAUAAGCACCGGCUAACUACGUGCCAGCAGCCGCGGUAAUACGUAGGGUGCAAGCGUUAAUCGGAAUUACUGGGCGUAAAGCGUGCGCAGGCGGUUUGCUAAGACCGAUGUGAAAUCCCCGGGCUCAACCUGGGAACUGCAUUGGUGACUGGCAGGCUAGAGUAUGGCAGAGGGGGGUAGAAUUGCCACGUGUAGCAGUGAAAUGCGUAGAGAUGUGGAGGAAUACCGAUGGCGAAGGCAGCCCCCUGGGCCAAUACUGACGCUCAUGCACGAAAGCGUGGGGAGCAAACAGGAUUAGAUACCCUGGUAGUCCACGCCCUAAAACGAUGUCAACUAGUUGUUGGGGAUUCAUUUCCUUAGUAACGUAGCUAACGCGUGAAGUUGACCGCCUGGGGAGUACGGUCGCAAGAUUAAAACUUAAAUGAAUUGACGGGGUCAUAGCUGUUUCCU
rnacentral:rRNA from 1 species